rnacentral:misc_RNA from 1 species
CGGCCGCCGGUCCUCGGACAAGCAUGUAAAUGUUGUUUCGGCGCCGCUGUUGCCGGUUCCGGAAGCGCAUCCUCUGCAGAUUGACGAGGAUUCUUCCGUCGCUCCGGCGACAUCUAGGAGUGCCGAUGUGGAAGCAGAAGAGAAUACGGCCGGGGAAAGCGGAGAGCCGCCACGGACUGAAGAGGAGACGGCGGAGGCGACGAGCGCGG